UAAAUUGGGCGCGGCUUACACAUGCAGUCGAGGGGUAUGGUUCUUCGGAACCAGAGACCGGCGCACGGGUGCGUAACGCGUAUGCAAUCUACCUUUCACAGAGGGAUAGCCCAGAGAAAUUUGGAUUAAUACCUCAUAGUAUAGCUGAACCGCAUGGUUCUACUAUUAAAGUCACAACGGUGAAAGAUGAGCAUGCGUCCCAUUAGUUAGUUGGUAAGGUAACGGCUUACCAAGACUACGAUGGGUAGGGGUCCUGAGAGGGAGAUCCCCCACACUGGUACUGAGACACGGACCAGACUCCUACGGGAGGCAGCAGUGAGGAAUAUUGGUCAAUGGGCGCAAGCCUGAACCAGCCAUGCCGCGUGCAGGAUGAAGCAUCUAUGGUGUGUAAACUGCUUUUAUACGAGAAGAAACAACUCUACGUGUAGAGUCUUGACGGUAUCGUAAGAAUAAGGACCGGCUAACUCCGUGCCAGCAGCCGCGGUAAUACGGAGGGUCCAAGCGUUAUCCGGAAUCAUUGGGUUUAAAGGGUCCGUAGGCGGUCAGAUAAGUCAGUGGUGAAAGCCCAUCGCUCAACGGUGGAACGGCCAUUGAUACUGUCUGACUUGAAUUAUUAGGAAGUAACUAGAAUAUGUAGUGUAGCGGUGAAAUGCUUAGAGAUUACAUGGAAUACCAAUUGCGAAGGCAGGUUACUACUAAUAUAU
rnacentral:rRNA from 1 species